UUGAACGUUUCUCUGUCUUCUUCGUAUCACAGCGAUUUCGGUUUUUGUACACCCACUGCCCAUAAUCAAUGCCCAUUAAAAGCGCUUCUAAUGCCCUUCUUGAGUGAGAGUUCAGCAGCUUAUGAGCCUUUCCUCAUCCCUUUCUGAAUCUCCAUCCGCAGCUAAAUCCACGUCUCCAUCUUCAGUUGUACCCGCAUCAUCAUCUCCAAUAGCUGCCCUCAAACCCUUGCCCAGAUCAGAAAUGGGAGCUUUGGUUCAGUCAAAUCUUUCGGUUCGAUGCUUUGAAUCCUUGCUAUUGUCCUUGGUCUCCCAACUUCAAUCUCGGACAAGGAAAGCACUCGGUUCGUUCGACGGCUAAGUCUCUCGAUUUCUAACAACAAAAUGGCAAACAAGAGCCCGCUACGUUUUAUCCAUCUCAAACUUAGACUAUCAUUUCGGCUCGGUAACCUCAUUUGCGGUGGAGGCUGCUUCUUUUGGGGUGGUUUAUUUUUUUUUCCUUUAUCACUUUUGAUUGGUAUGGAUUACCAGCUCCACUGGCACUAUUAAGGGCAGACAAAUAAUCUUCCUCCAUGUUGUCCUGGUAUGAAAGAGUAAUACGUAGUAAUUGAUCACACCUGAUAUAUAUAUAUAUAUAUAUAUAUAUAUAUUUGCUUUCAAACAUCAUUUCUUGACUUUUAAUCAGUACUCCGACAAGGUAUCAUUGGUAUGAAGGUGCAAGUGGUGUUCAGCAGCACUUGCAAUUUCACUGUCACAGUCUCCAAAUUCAACUCUUCAAUAUUCUCUGUCUAUGUUUCUGUAUGGGUUUAUCAAAUUUGUUAUGCUCUGUCCAUUAAAUCAGUCCUAAUUUUUUUGUUUAGCUUAAUUGUCAGUUGUUUUUUCAUGUUCAUGUAUGCUGCCAAUUAUAUUGUAAGAUCGGCAGUGACAAUCGCUUUUGCUUCGACAUCUCAGCCUGUGGUCUUUUUGUGUUCCUGUGCGCCAGGUAAAAAUUGAAAUCAGCAGUGAUAUCGCUCUUGCUUCGACAUCUCUUUUUUUUGUGUGUGUUUCUCUACGUGAUUGUAACUCGGACAUUCGUUUAUCAUUCUCAUGUGUUGGCUUUCUUCAUCCUUAUGGAGGUUUUCUUCUUUAAUUUUGCAUGGGGUGUUCAAAUUUAAUUUUUCAAUUGCACUGUGUGUUUUUGUAUGCAGUGCAUUUUUGUGUUGAAGCUCAAAUAGGUUCAAUAUUUUAUCUUAUCAAACAUUACCCUAUUUGUGUUAUAAUAAGCAUACCUUCUUUGAGUCCUAAAAUGUAGUUGAUGACACUGCCCACUUUUUAUACUACAGUGAAUGUGCAACCUCUUUCUAGGUCGCCGGCUAAUUUCCAUAUCUACGUUGCUUUACUGAGAUAUCAUGAAAGGAUAAUGACACUUGAUCUUCCUUAUGAAUGCCAACAAUUCUGGAAUUCGUUUCAUACUUGGUGGAUCUGUCAAUUCUAAAAGGUCAUGCGAAGGGAGAUAGGCGAUAAUACACGACCCACAUGGCUCAAUUGAUUCAUCAUCUCUAUCUAAAUCCAAUGGAUUCCAUCCCUCUCUAGCUCACUGGUCGCGCACUUCCAUUCAUAUUAGUCUCUGCUUUAUGGUAGUUUAUAGGGUUACCCUUGUAUGGAGGACAGUUUUAUGUGAUAUAUGCAGUUCAUUGGGAUUUAACGGGGAUGUUGGAGGAUAUUGGGUUGCCGGCAAAAACAUCUAUGAGAGGCAGUAAUUUGGUGAUCGACGCCUCUCAUUGCCUGGGUUGUUCCUCUCAGUUCACUUUCAUCAGUCGCAAGGUUACUUCUCACUUUUUGAUCCCUAAUAAUCAUUGAUUCUUUGACCCUGUUCUUCAAUGCCCAUCUCUCGAAGUGCUUUUCCCCUGAGUCCACCGUCUUAUAUAUACAGUGAAAACCUAUAGUUUGGGGAAAUUGUAUUGUUGGGGAUUUAUUUUAGAAAUUUAGUGAUUUAUAGGUUUUGCAUUAAAUGGAGGACAUAAUUUUAUGAUACAUGCAGUUUGAUGAAGUGUGUCAAGAGUGGUCUUUACUCUGAAUUUACUUGGAUUGUGUUGACCUCUUUGAACUCUCUCCCUUCUACAUUGUUUUGUCAAAACUGUCAAUAUUUCUACUAAUAGAUAAUUUGGUGGUUUUAGCUUAUUAACAGCACUAAACUUUAAUGACCAUUUUUUGUGUUGAUGUAAUUGGAAAGUUCAUUGGAUUUUGAUGACAAAUUAAACCCUAAAAAUAUAAUAUACCUCAGUUCUGUAGUCUACUAUUCUCUAAGGAUCUUCUUGAUACAGCAACUUCAUAAAUCUAAGGAGGAAAGACAAAGGCAGUUUAAUUCAUGCAAAAAUGACAAAUAAAAAGGGAUAAAAGUGAUGGUUAGAUAGCCUCGAAGAUAACUACAUAAAUGUGUGCGUAUAUAUGAACCUGUGUAUGAAAUUUCUGUUUUAUCAGGUACCCCAGUUUCAUGUACUAAUACCCUAAAUCAUUACCAUCAGUCUACUUUUUAAGAGAGAGAAAUUUUACAUUGAGGAUGAUAAUCAUUAUCAAACUUUUUUUAAAGUGAGAAAUUUGACAAAAACAAAGCAAAUGAUGAGUAUUAUUACAAACUAUUAAAUAUUAUAAAUUUAUAAUAAGCUAAAUAAAUAGAUAAUAAAGGAUUAGACCAAUAGUCAUGGGAAUAUUAUAACAAUAAUAUUCUUAUUAGAACAUAUCAACAUAAAAAUAUAAUUAAAAAUAUAUGUUAUAAAAAACC